ACUUGAUGGGUCCUGAAUGGAUCCUCUCUUCCUUUGCUCACAGAAGGUUUUGUGAUGAUGCCGACAACCAGGGCUGCCCUUGCCUUCCUUCGAAUUGCCAAAGCAGUCAGGAAUCUUCUGCCCUUAGAGUAUAUUGUGGGGUCCUCCCUCCACACCCUUGCUGAUAGAGCUCUGGAGAGGGCCUUUGGGGAGCAUGUGACUAUCCCCGGCAUAGUCGCCCCCCAUCAACACUUACUGUAGGGAAGGAAAGAAGCCAAACGUCUUACUGUCACAUUUUACAGAUGAGGAGAUGGGCACAGAGAAGUUCAGCAACGUGGCUCAGGUCGAAUGCUUGUGAUUUUUAUUUUUGUUGUUUUUUUGCUUGUGAUUUUUAUGUCUUACACAUUGCCUGGUGCCCUUCUGAAAGAAUUCCACAUUGGAAACUUUGGGACAUGAAGCCAUUUACCAAUCAGGUCAUAUGUCUAGGGAGACACUGUUGCUAUAGGUGUCAAGAAGUUUUGCUCCAGAAAAAUGUCCAGACCAAUUCUGCUUCCCAAGUAGGCCAGGAUAUCCACAGGACACCUUGAAACAGUGACUCCCUCCUGCAUUUUGUUGAUUGAUUGAUUGAUUUUUGAGACAGGGUCCUGCUCUGUCACCCAGGAUGGGGUGCAGUGGCUCAAUCUCAGUUCACUGCAACCUCUACCUCUCUGGUUUAAGUGAUUCUCUGGCCUCAGCCUCCCGAGUAGCUGGGACUACAGGCAUGCACCACCACAUCCGGCUAAUUUUUGUAUUUUUAGCAGAGAUGGGGUUUCACCAUAUUGGCCAGGCUGGUCUUGAACUCAAGAUGAUUCACCCACCUCAGCCUCUCAAAGUGCUGGGAUUACAGUCUCGGGUAUGUCAUUAUCAGCAGUGUGAAAAUGGACUCACUCCCACCCUGUCUGGAUCUGGACAAGAGCCCACCACCCUGUUGGCAGUAGUCAGGCAGCUCUGCUCCUAAGAACCUGCAGCUUUUAGAAGAAAGGCACCCUGUGGUUUCAGAAGCCCAAGAGUCCCUGCAGCUCAGCACCUCCAGCCUGGUGCUUGGCAGAUAAUUGGCUCCUCACUUAGGAGAGGGAGCAGAAAACUGUGUAUUCUUCAGAACAUCAUGAUAACCUGGCAUUCAUGGGUCUAUGGAGAGAAUUCAGGGGGUCUGGGAGCUUGGAUGGGAUAAAUUUGCAUCUUUAUUUUCAGGAAAGUUUUACUGAAGUUUAGCAUUUUCUUUCAUUAUAAAUGGAACAGUACAACCCAAUAGUAUGCACAGUUACUUCUCCACAACGUUAAAGUGGCUGCAGGUAUCUCAAAAUAUUAUUUACAUUUAUCAUAACUUAGAAAUUUGGGUGGUAAUUAAACCAGCAACUAUUCUUUGUUUAAUGCAUUAAGAAAGAAGUAUGUAUACUAUCAUAUCUCAAUUAAAAAUAUUUUAAGAACUGGA